UUUCAUCUUAUUUGUAACACAAAAGGUGAUGCUGGAAUUCCACUCUAGAUCUACCUCCUCAGUUAAAAGGGCAGAACAGGCUGGGCACCGUGGCUCAAGCCUGUAAUCACAGAACUCUGGGAGGCCGAGGGUCUCACUUUGUUACUCAGGCUGAAGUGUGGUGACAUGAUCUCAGCUCACUGAAACCUCUGCCUCUGGUGCUCAAGUGAUUCUUCCAGCUCAGCCUCCUAAGUAAGUGGGACUACAGGCAAGCGCCACCCAACCAGGGAGCCAGCGUCUGGUGAGGUGGAAUGACAGCUGGGGGCAAGGAAGCACCGGCUCUCUUCACUUUAAGGAGGGGCUGACCUAGGAAAAGGGCUUUCCCACAACUUGACCAGAAAAGUUCAUACAAAGGCAAGCCUAUCAGACUUACAGCAGAUCUCUCAGCAGAAACUCUACAAGCCAGAAGAGAGUGGGGGCCAAUAUUCAACAUCCUCAAAGAACAGAACCUUCAGCCCAGAAUUUCAUAUCCAGCCAAACUAAGCUUCACAACUGAAGGAAAAAUAAAAUCUUUUAUGAACAAGCAAGAACUCAGAGAUUUUAUUACCACCAGGCCUGCUUUACAAGAGCUUCUGAAAGAAGCAUUACACACAGAAAGAAACAACCAGUAUUAGCCUUUCUAAAAAUAUACCAAAAAGUAAAGAGCACCAACAUAAAGAAGAAUUUACACCAACAAAUGGAUAAAACAGCCAGUUAACAUCAAAUGGCAGUAAUCCUAAAUUUAAAUUGACUAAAUCCCCCAAUCAAAAGACACAGCCAAAACCCAAUGGCAUGUUACAUCCAGACCUGUUUCACAUGCAAGGAUACACAAAGACUCAAAACAAAGGGAUGGAGAAAGAUUUACCAACCAAAUGGAGAGCAAAAAUAAAUAAUGAAUAAAUAAAAAGCAGGAAUUGCAAGUCUUGUAUCGGAUAAAAUAGAUUUUAAAGCAACAAAGAUAUAGUGGUAAAGGAUCAAUGCAACAACA